rnacentral:rRNA from 1 species
UCUGACACAGGUGCUGCAUGGCUGUCGUCAGCUCAUGUCGUGAGAUGUUGGGUUAAGUCCGUAACGAGCGCAACCUGUCCUUAGUUACCAGCACGUUAUGGUGGGCACUCUAAGGAGACUGCCGGUGACAAACCGGAGGAAGGUGGGGAGUGACGUCAAGUCAUCAUGGCCCUUACGGCCUGGGCUACACACGUGCUACAAUGGUCGGUACAAAGGGUUGCCAAGCCGCGAGGUGGAGCUAAUCCCAUAAAACCGAUCGUAGUCCGGAUCGCAGUCUGCAACUCGACUGCGUGAAGUCGGAAUCGCUAGUAAUCGUGAAUCAGAAUGUCACGGUGAAUACGUUCCCGGGCCUU